rnacentral:lncRNA from 1 species
GAACCCAGGGAUGGGGGAAGGAUCGUGAUCUCUUGCGACGACGAUGACUCUGGAAAGGAUGAUCCGGAGUAGUUUAUAGAGGUUGGUAUUAUAAAUGUUUUGCGUAUUGCUGAUCUUUAGCAUUUGCCGAGGGAUUCAAGGUUAAUUUAUCGCUGAAUUGACGGCAAUUAUUAUCUCUGAGAUGUUAUUUCUUUUCUUCAUUAUGUUUCUCAUCGUCCACGCAUUCGAACGCAUGGUUUACUGUCACUCGUGACAUAAAAAUCCUGCUCGAAGUUUUUCUGGCCGUUACUGCUGAAGGCAUUCUUAUUUUCUUUCACCAGGAUUUACGCUAAUAAUAGCGCUGGAGCUCUGAGAAAUUCUCAUGAAUCACGUCUUCGCCUGGAUCUCCAGAAAUAGACGCCUAUAACUGUACAUUCGAGCGUAGUUUGCUGUCUAAGUGUACUCAGUUUUCAGCCAUUUUGGAAAUACGGAGAUCAAUCGAAUCAAGUGAACAAUCCUCCUCUAGGGGGAAUGAUGCUACAGGAAAUCCGACAUGGAAACAUGAACUAGUGGUUUUAAGUUAUGUUUUCAUCAAGCUGUAAAAAGUUGGAAAGCUUCGACUCGAAUUUUUCAUCCAGAAUCCACUUCUCUCAAAAGAAAGCACUCGACAGUCUCCAAUUAUAACUCAUAUUUCGCUAUCACAUUCCAUAAUUUUAUUCUCUUUAUCGAUGUCGAGAAAGCGUGGCAAAGAUCCGUAGAUAUUGCGCCCCGAAAGCCUGAUAACUAGGGAGAUCCUCGGACCGACAGCCCCACGCAAGCGUUCCUGUUUUCUUGUCGCCAACAUUCACUUGUUCUAGAAUUCUCGCACUCUAUUCACAUCCUUCUUAAACGCGGCGUGCAAAAUAUCAAGGAGUAUCUCACAAUUGUUUGCAAUACUAUCCGUCCUGCGAGUCCUUCUAUGUGGAAGCUACUCAACUUUCAGGUAAAUCACUCAAGACUAUGAUAAUAUAUGAGAAGAUGAGAUGUUUCAAAUACGUCGGGGAAUAUGAUGACGAAGAUGUUGUGCUACGAGAAGAAAGGAAAUGUGAAAAUCCGGUUUCCCCACCGCCGAUCUUCUUGCUCUUCUGCGACAGUCCCCAUCUCUGCUUUUGUUUCAUCCCCACUAGGCUGCUCUUCAGAGUCUGCACGGAGAUCGCCAUUCAGCCUCUCUGCAGGAUCCAAUCGCCGAAGUUGGAAGGGGAGGAAUGGAGAAUCUGGAAGGGG